rnacentral:rRNA from 1 species
AAAAAUUCAAGAAAAUAUUUAAAUAUUAAAACUGUACCUAACCCGACACAGGUGAACUAGUAUAAAUGUACGUAAGCGAUUGAAUUAAUAGUAUUGAAGGAACUCGGCAAAUUAACUCUGUAACUUCGGUGUAAAGAGAACCAACUUAUUUAGAUUUAAAUAAGGGGGUGGUAGAAACAUAGAGUAGCGACUGUUUAAUAAAAACACAGGACUCUGCAAAAUUGCAAAAUGACGUAUAGAGUCUGACACCUGCCCGGUGCUGUAAAGUUAAAAACUAAUAGUUUACGCUUUUAGUUUAAUCUCCAGUAAACGGCGGCUGUAACUCUGACGGUCCUAAGGUAGCGAAAUUC